rnacentral:rRNA from 1 species
ACGAACGCUGGCGGCGUGCUUCACACAUGCAAGUCGAACGCUGAAGCUUGGUGCUUGCCCUGGGUGGAUGAGUGGCGAACGGGUGAGUAAUACGUGAGUAACCUGCCCUUGACUCUGGGAUAAGCCUGGGAAACUGGGUCUAAUACUGGAUACGACAUGUCACCGCAUGGUGGUGUGUGGAAAGGGUUUUACUGGUUUUGGAUGGGCUCACGGCCUAUCAGCUUGUUGGUGGGGUAAUGGCUCACCAAGGCGACGACGGGUAGCCGGCCUGAGAGGGUGACCGGCCACACUGGGACUGAGACACGGCCCAGACUCCUACGGGAGGCAGCAGUGGGGAAUAUUGCACAAUGGGCGGAAGCCUGAUGCAGCGACGCCGCGUGAGGGAUGACGGCCUUCGGGUUGUAAACCUCUUUCAGCACGGAAGAAGCGAAAGUGACGGUACGUGCAGAAGAAGCGCCGGCUAACUACGUG